UACAGAGGGUGCUAGCGUUGUUCGGAAUCAUUGGGCGUAAAGGGCGUGUAGGCGGUUUGUUAAGUCAUGUGUGAAAUCCCUCGGCUCAACCGGGGAAGGACGCAUGAAACUGGCAAGCUAGAGUACCAAAGAGGGGGGUGGAAUUCCCGGUGUAGCGGUGAAAUGCGUAGAUAUCAGGAGGAAUACCGGUGGCGAAAGCGACUCUCUGGACGGCAACUGACGCUGAGGCACGAAAGCGUGGGGAGCAAACAGG
rnacentral:rRNA from 1 species